rnacentral:rRNA from 1 species
GACGAACGCUGGCGGCGUGCUUAACACAUGCAAGUCGAACGGAAAGGCCCUGCUUUUGUGGGGUGCUCGAGUGGCGAACGGGUGAGUAAAACGUGAGUAACCUGCCCUUGACUUUGGGAUAACUUCAGGAAACUGGGGCUAAUACCGGAUAGGAGCUCCUGCUGCAUGGGGGGGGUUGGAAAGUUUCGGCGGUUGGGGAUGGACUCGCGGCUUAUCAGCUUGUUGGUGGGGUAGUGGCUUACCAAGGCUUUGACGGGUAGCCCGCCUGAGAGGGUGACCGGCCACAUUGGGACUGAGAUACGGCCCAGACUCCUACGGGAGGCAGAAGUGGGGAAUAUUGCACAAUGGGCGGAAGCCUGAUGCAGCAACGCCGCGUGCGGGAUGACGGCCUUCGGGUUGUAAACCGCUUUCGCCUGUGACGAAGCGUGAGUGACGGUAAUGGGUAAAGAAGCACCGGCUAACUACGUG